UGCAAGUCGUGGGGCAGCAUGGGUGUAGCAAUACAUCUGAUGGCGACCGGCAAACGGGUGCGGAACACGUACGCAACCUUCCUUUAAGUGGGGGAUAGCCCAGAGAAAUUUGGAUUAAUACCCCGUAAUAUUAAGAAGUGGCAUCACUUUAUAAUUAUAGCUUCGGCGCUUGAAGAUGGGCGUGCGGCUGAUUAGGUAGUUGGCGGGGUAACGGCCCACCAAGCCUUCGAUCAGUAACUGGUGUGAGAGCACGACCAGUCACACGGGCACUGAGACACGGGCCCGACUCCUACGGGAGGCAGCAGUAAGGAAUAUUGGUCAAUGGGCGCAAGCCUGAACCAGCCAUGCCGCGUGGAGGAUGAAGGCCCUCUGGGUUGUAAACUUCUUUUAUUUGGGAAGAAAUCCAUUUUUUCUAAGAUGGUUGACGGUACCAGAUGAAUAAGCACCGGCUAACUCCGUGCCAGCAGCCGCGGUAAUACGGAGGGUGCAAGCGUUAUCCGGAUUCACUGGGUUUAAAGGGUGCGUAGGUGGGCAGGUAAGUCAGUGGUGAAAUCUCCGGGCUUAACCCGGAAACUGCCGUUGAUACUAUCUGUCUUGAAUGUCGUGGAGGUGGGCGGAAUAUGUCAUGUAGCGGUGAAAUGCUUAGAUAUGACAUAGAACACCAAUUGCGAAGGCAGCUCACUACACGAUGAUUGACGCUGAGGCACGAAAG
rnacentral:rRNA from 1 species